rnacentral:rRNA from 1 species
GACGAACGCUGGCGGCGUGCUUAACACAUGCAAGUCGAACGAAGUGGCGAACGGGUGAGUAACGCGUAAUCAACCUGCCCUUCAGCGGGGGACAACAGUUGGAAACGACUGCUAAUACCGCAUAAUGAAGGAGGGGAUUGAGUCUGAUUAGAUAGAUGGAGGGGUACCGGCCCACCAAGGCGAUGAUCAGUAGCCGGUCUUAGGUGGUGAACGGCCACAUUGGGACUGAGACACGGCCCAGACUCCUACUGGCGGCAGCAGGGGGGAAUCUUCCGCAAUGGACGAAAGUCUUACGGAGCAACGCCGCGUGAGUGAUGACGGCCUUCGGGUUGUAAAGCUCUGUUAAUCGGGACGCGGUACCGGAAUAGAAAGCCACGGCUAACUACGUGCCAGCAGCCGCGGUAAUAC